GUGCUCGCUUGGGCAGCACAUAUACUAAAAUUGGAACUAUACAGAGAAGGUUAGCACGGCCCCUGUGCAAGGAUGACACGCAAAUUCGUGAAGCGGUCCAUAUUUUU
rnacentral:snRNA from 1 species